UACGUAGGGCGCGAGCGUUAAUCGGAAUUACUGGGCGUAAAGCGUGCGUAGGCGGUCCGCGAAGUCUGAUGUGAAAGCCCCGGGCUCAACCUGGGAACUGCAUUGGAAACUAACGGGCUCGAGUGUGGCAGAGGGGGGUGGAAUUCCACGUGUAGCAGUGAAAUGCGUAGAGAUCAGGAAGAACACCGGUGGCGAAAGCGCUCUGCUGGACCUUAACUGACACUGAGGGACGAAAGCUAGGGGAGCGAAUGGG
rnacentral:rRNA from 1 species